rnacentral:lncRNA from 1 species
CCAUCCUAGGACCCAACGCUGGUUCACCUGUACUUCCGUUCAGUACUGCACGGGGAGUGGUGCACUCCACUUGUGAUAUUUACACUCAGCUCCAGUUCUCCUUUUAGUACCUUGAUGCUGGUAUUGAUGUUGCCACCAACUCUUUUAGGCACAUUGAAAACCAAUCAAAAGACUGUCAAUUUUGUCUUGUAAAAAAGCAGUGCACUCUUCCAGGGCCCCUUUCCCCGGCAGAGUGACUUAUUAAACCGGAAACUCUAGUCAGACAGUUGCUAAUUUUUUUUUCUUCAUUUUGUUGCUGCUGUUGCUGCUUAUCAAUUUCAUUACACUGAACCCUACCUGCCUGUGUGCAGUUGGCAGUACAUCCACUGCCAGAAUCUCUGACGUAUGGUAUCCUGGCUCAAAAUGCUCUGCCCCCCUGCCCCGGGGGUCACCAAUGUUCUCAUGCAGAGAGCUCAUUUCAAUCAAGAACCCUUAUCUGUGAUCAACGAGCAACUUAGAGCAAGUCCGAGCAUGAUAGUCAUCCGUUCCUUCAGCCUUCUGUCACAGGCAACAGGAAUUUUCAUGUCCCAGUGCCUUUCUUGAAGUGAUGUGUUUUAGGGGGACCACUCUGAUGGACUGGCCGUCUGAUGCUGGAAAUCCCACACCCCUACAAGCAACUGUCAUCAUAC